rnacentral:sRNA from 12 species
AGUUCCAACCCGAACAGUCGCCGGAUGGCGUGCGUGCCGAAAGGAUAGGGUUGGAACUUUUA